GAUGAACGCUAGCUACAGGCUUAACACAUGCAAGUCGAGGGGUAACGAGAGGAAAGCUUGCUUUCCUUGUCGACGACCGGCGCACGGGUGAGUAACGCGUAUCCAACCUGCCCCCAACUAGGGAAUAACCUUGCGAAAGUAAGACUAAUACCCUAUAAUUUCCUCAGAUGCCAUCUGACGAGGAAUAAAGAUUUAUCGGUUGUGGAUGGAGAUGCGUCUGAUAAGCUUGUUGGCGGGGUAACGGCCCACCAAGGCAACGAUCAGUAGGGGUUCUGAGAGGAAGGUCCCCCACAUUGGAACUGAGACACGGUCCAAACUCCUACGGGAGGCAGCAGUGAGGAAUAUUGGUCAAUGGGCGGAAGCCUGAACCAGCCAAGUAGCGUGCAGGAUGACGGCCCUAUGGGUUGUAAACUGCUUUUAUACAGGAAUAAAGUUAGCCACGUGUGGUUAUUUGUAGGUACUGUAUGAAUAAGGACCGGCUAAUUCCGUGCCAGCCGCCGCCGUAA
rnacentral:rRNA from 1 species